UCGUUGCUUCGGCGGGCCCGCCUUAACUGGCCGCCGGGGGGCUCACGCCCCCGGGCCCGCGCCCGCCGAAGACACCCCCGAACUCUGCCUGAAGAUUGUCGUCUGAGUGAAAAUAUAAAUUAUUUAAAACUUUCAACAACGGAUCUCUUGGUUCCGGCAUCGAUGAAGAACGCAGCGAAAUGCGAUACGUAAUGUGAAUUGCAAAUUCAGUGAAUCAUCGAGUCUUUGAACGCACAUUGCGCCCCCUGGUAUUCCGGGGGGCAUGCCUGUCCGAGCGUCAUUGCUGCCCUCAAGCCCGGCUUGUGUGUUGGGCCCCGUCCUCCGAUUCCGGGGGACGGGCCCGAAAGGCAGCGGCGGCACCGCGUCCGGUCCUCGAGCGUAUGGGGCUUUGUCACCCGCUCUGUAGGCCCGGCCGGCGCUUGCCGAUCAACCCAAAUUUUUAUCCAGGUUGACCUCGGAUCAGGUAGGGAUACCCGCUGAACUUAAGCAUAUCAUAGGCC
rnacentral:rRNA from 1 species